AUUGAACGCUGGCGGCAUGCCUUACUCAUGCAAGUCGAACGGUAACGGGCCUUCGGGUGCCGACGAGUGGCGAGCGGGUGAGUAAUGUAUCGGAACGUACCUUUCAGUGGGGGAUAACGUAGCGAAAGUUACGCUAAUACCGCAUAUUCUGUGCGCAGGAAAGCAGGGGAUCGCAAGACCUUGCGCUGAUUGAGCGGCCGAUAUCAGAUUAGCUAGUUGGUGAGGUAAAGGCUCACCAAGGCGACGAUCUGUAGCGGGUCUGAGAGGAUGAUCCGCCACACUGGAACUGAGACACGGUCCAGACUCCUACGGGAGGCAGCAGUGGGGAAUUUUGGUCAAUGGGGGCAACCCUGAUCCAGCCAUGCCGCGUGAGUGAAGAAGGCCUUCGGGUUGUAAAGCUCUUUCGGCCGGGAAGAAAUCGUAUCAGCUAAUACCUGGUGCGGAUGACGGUACCGGCAUAAGAAGCACCGGCUAACUACGUGCCAGCCGCCGCCGUAAAAC
rnacentral:rRNA from 1 species